GACGAACGCUGGCGGCGUGCUUAACACAUGCAAGUCGAACGGAAAGGCCCUGCUUUUGUGGGGUGCUCGAGUGGCGAACGGGUGAGUACCACGUGGGUAACCUGCCCUUGACUUUGGGAUAACUUCAGGAAACUGGGGCUAAUACCGGAUAGGAGCUCCUGCUGCAUGGUGGGGGUUGGAAAGUUUCGGCGGUUGGGGAUGGACUCGCGGCUUAUCAGCUUGUUGGUGGGGUAGUGGCUUACCAAGGCUUUGACGGGUAGCCGGCCUGAGAGGGUGACCGGCCACAUUGGGACUGAGAUACGGCCCAGACUCCUACGGGAGGCAGCAGUGGGGAAUAUUGCACAAUGGGCGGAAGCCUGAUGCAGCAACGCCGCGUGCGGGAUGACGGCCUUCGGGUUGUAAACCGCUUUCGCCUGUGACGAAGCGUGAGUGACGGUAAUGGGUAAAGAAGCACCGGCUAACUACGUG
rnacentral:rRNA from 1 species